GACGGAGGAUACAAGUGUUAUCCGGAAUCACUGGGCGUAAAGCGUCUGUAGGUGGUUUAAAAAGUCCACUGUUAAAAAUUGAAGCUUAACUUCAAAGAUGCCGUGGAAACUUUUAAACUUGAGUAUGAUAGGGGUAGAGGGAAUUUCCAGUGGAGCGGUGAAAUGCGUAGAUAUUGGAAAGACCACCAAUGGCGAAGGCACUCUACUGGGCCAUUACUGACACUGAGAGACGAAAGCUAGGGGAGCGAACGGGG
rnacentral:rRNA from 1 species